rnacentral:rRNA from 1 species
GACGAACGCUGGCGGCGUGCCUAAUACAUGCAAGUAGAACGCUGAAGAGAGGAGCUUGCUCUUCUUGGAUGAGUUGCGAACGGGUGAGUAACGCGUAGGUAACCUGCCUUGUAGCGGGGGAUAACUAUUGGAAACGAUAGCUAAUACCGCAUAACAAUGGAUGACCCAUGUCAUUUAUUUGAAAGGGGCAAAUGCUCCACUACAAGAUGGACCUGCGUUGUAUUAGCUAGUAGGUGAGGUAACGGCUCACCUAGGCGACGAUACAUAGCCGACCUGAGAGGGUGAUCGGCCACACUGGGACUGAGACACGGCCCAGACUCCUACGGGAGGCAGCAGUAGGGAAUCUUCGGCAAUGGGGGCAACCCUGACCGAGCAACGCCGCGUGAGUGAAGAAGGUUUUCGGAUCGUAAAGCUCUGUUGUAAGUCAAGAACGAGUGUGAGAGUGGAAAGUUCACACUGUGACGGUAGCUUAACAGAAAGGGACGGCUAACUACGUGCCAGCAGCCGCGGUAAUACGUAGGUCCCGAGCGUUGUCCGGAUUUAUUGGGCGUAAAGCGAGCGCAGGCGGUUUGAUAAGUCUGAAGUUAAAGGCUGUGGCUCAACCAUAGUUCGCUUUGGAAACUGUCAAACUUGAGUGCAGAAGGGGAGAGUGGAAUUCCAUGUGUAGCGGUGAAAUGCGUAGAUAUAUGGAGGAACACCGGUGGCGAAAGCGGCUCUCUGGUCUGUAACUGACGCUGAGGCUCGAAAGCGUGGGGAGCGAACAGG